rnacentral:piRNA from 1 species
UGAAAGAUGAUGGCCUGCAUGGU